rnacentral:rRNA from 1 species
UGCGCCUUGCCAGCCCGCUCAGAAACUCCAAGGAAUUGACGGGACCCCGCACAAGCGGUGGAUCAUGUUGUUUAAUUUCGAUGAUACGCGAAGAACCUUACCAGGUCUUGACAUCCCCCGCGAUGCUUUAGAGAUAAAGCGGAGGUAUUCGGGGAGACAGGUGGUGCAUGGUUGUCGUCAGCUCGUGUCGUGAGAUGUUGGGUUAAGUCCCGCAACGAGCGCAACCCCUAUUGCUAGUUACCAUCAUUAAGUUGGGGACUCUAGCGAGACUGCCAGUGAUAAACUGGAGGAAGGUGGGGAUGACGUCAAAUCAUCAUGCCCCUUAUGACCUGGGCUACAAACGUGAUACAAUGGCUGGAACAAAGGGAUGCGAAGCAGUGAUGUGGAGCGAAACCCAUAAAAACAGUCUCAGUUCGGAUUGAAGUCUGCAACUCGACUUCGUGAAGUCGGAAUCGCUAGUAAUCGCGGAUCAGAACGCCGCGGUGAAUACGUUCUCGGGGUUU